ACGCUCGACACCUACGGGAGGUAGCAGUAGGGAAUCUUCCACAAUGGACGCAAGUCUGAUGGAGCAACGCCGCGUGAGUGAAGAAGGUCUUCGGAUCGUAAAACUCUGUUGUUAGAGAAGAACACGAGUGAGAGUAACUGUUCAUUCGAUGACGGUAUCUAACCAGCAAGUCACGGCUAACUACGUGUCAGCAGCCGCGGUAAUCUGAGCGGGCUGGCAAGGC
rnacentral:rRNA from 1 species